rnacentral:lncRNA from 1 species
CUCCGCUAGGCUCCAAUGUCUUAGCUUCCGGCGCAGGCUUCACGUCCUUGGAUGGAGGAACCGGAGUCCCGGUGAGCUCCGCCGGCAGAUCACCAGCAAGACCCUUGAGGUAAAAAGUGUAGAACAGUUUUGUCGGAUACACAAGCUGUUGAAGCUUGACCUGUCCGUAAGCACCUUCGAAUAUUCCAGUGCCACCGGUGAUGGCGAGGAACGAGUCCUCAUACGUCAGGUACGGUCCUUGGACGGACAAGUGACCGUAGUCGCCGAAGUAGAAGCUGUAAGUGGCUUCGAACCGUUCACCUUUCUUCUCCGGGACGUGAGCGAUCACGACGCAAAGACCGGCGGUGAUUCCCACGCGCUUCUUGAGGUCGCCAGUGUAGAGUUUGUUGGUGAAUGGGACGAGAUCGCCGAGACCGAACGUUAGGCAAGCGGCGUUUUUCAGGAUUUUUGGGCUGUGUCGGUCUAGUUCAUUGAGCUCGUACACGCUCAGUUCUUGAAUUCUACCUGAAUUUUCAAGAACAAAGAAAAUAAAAAACGAAAACUCAAUUUGUAAAUUUUGAGAUCAUGCUUAAAAAUAUAUGAAAUGUCCUCAAAAGACAAAAAAAAAAGGAACAAAGAACUUACUUGGUCUGGAGUUUUCGAUAUGUCCGUUCUGGGAGAGAGCUCGGGACAGAACCCGGAUCCGGAUCAGUCGGAUCCGUGGAUUUAAUAUCCGAAUCCAGAUUUGUGGUUUCCGAAUAUCCAGAUUUCGGAUAUUCGUCUCGAUAUUCUAUUACCCACGGAUAUCCGGAUCCGGAUCCAUAAAAAUACUAAAUUUUUUUAAUAUAAUAUAUGAAUUAAAUAUUUAUACAAAAUUUAUAAAUAAAUAUAUAUAUAUGUCUAUAAUAUCGUAAAAACUAAAAUAUAAGAUUAAUUUAUGUAUAAAUAUUAAUAUAUCAAAUAUAAAUAUUAAUGAAAUUUAAAAAUUUAAUGUGUUUUAAAAAUACACAUAAAACUAUUUUAUAAUGACAAAUGAUUUUUGUAAUCUGAAGUGUUCUUAGAUUUUAUGAAUUUUUAGCUAAAAAGUAGUUGGCAAAAAUAGGUUAGAUCAAAUUAGAGAUUAUGCUCUUACUUAAAUUUCGGUACAGUAACUAAAACCCAUCACGGACAAGUCUUCCACAUAAGCAAAUCAACUUUCUGUGAUGAUAUCAUAAGGUAGGAGGGUUCUACAUACCGGAGGGCACGUCUCAUUUUAUUAAUGUUUAUGCUGUGAUGAGAGAUCCUGAUGAGUUUAAACCAGAGAGGUUUCUAGGGGAAGAAAAAAAGAGAAGAUAUUGAACUUUCUCUCUUUUGGUGCUGGAAGGAGAGGAUGUCCUGGAUCAAAUCUUGCUUAUAUAUUAGGAGUCGCGAUUGGAGUGUGGUGCAAUGUUUUGAUUGGGUAAUCGAAGGAGAGAAAGUCAACAUGGAAGAGGCUUCUGGAAUAGCUUUCUUGUCUUUGGUUCAUGCUCUUAACUGCAUUCCUCUUCCUCGUUUCCCAUAUACUUUACUUUCCACUUUGUAGAUUAUCAAUUUGUGAAUUAGAGUCUCACUAUAUUUCCAAACAUAUCUAUUGCACUUGGUUUUGUUUUAUCAAUAACAUACAUUAUGGCAUUAUCAGCACACUAGCACAUACCACUAGUUGACUAGUAUAUCAACAUACUUUCAGUUAGUUUGGUGAGAACGUGAAUGGAUUUGGACGAGUAUAAAAGUGAAGUUAAUAGCUUUUAACUUCUUUUCUUGCAAGAAAAUUUAUAUCUAGUAACUUGCUAUUGUUCUUUAUUAAAAAGAAUAUUUCAUUAUACAAAGACACAAAAAGCAUAAUGAAUUUAAUUAGUAAAGUUACAAAUAACUCCGCUAGGCUCCAAUGUCUUAGCUUCCGGCGCAGGCUUCACGUCCUUGGAUGGAGGAACCGGAGUCCCGGUGAGCUCCGCCGGCAGAUCACCAGCAAGACCCUUGAGGUAAAAAGUGUAGAACAGUUUUGUCGGAUACACAAGCUGUUGAAGCUUGACCUGUCCGUAAGCACCUUCGAAUAUUCCAGUGCCACCGGUGAUGGCGAGGAACGAGUCCUCAUACGUCAGGUACGGUCCUUGGACGGACAAGUGACCGUAGUCGCCGAAGUAGAAGCUGUAAGUGGCUUCGAACCGUUCACCUUUCUUCUCCGGGACGUGAGCGAUCACGACGCAAAGACCGGCGGUGAUUCCCACGCGCUUCUUGAGGUCGCCAGUGUAGAGUUUGUUGGUGAAUGGGACGAGAUCGCCGAGACCGAACGUUAGGCAAGCGGCGUUUUUCAGGAUUUUUGGGCUGUGUCGGUCUAGUUCAUUGAGCUCGUACACGCUCAGUUCUUGAAUUCUACCUGAAUUUUCA